ACACAUGCAAGUUUUACUUUUAUCUAACACUUUUUUAUUUGGUGUUUUGAUAAUAAAUUAAAGUAAGGCGAACGGGUGAGUAAUAUAUAAGAAUCUACCAUUCAAUUUUUAUAAUUAAUGAUGAGCUUAUAUCUAAUUAGUUUGUUGGCGGGGUAAGGCCUACCAAGACUUUGAUUAGUAGUUGGUUUGGAAGAAUGAUCAGCCACACUAGGACUGAAACAAGGCCUAGACUAAUUUUUUAAUUAGUCAGCAGUGGGGGAUAUUCUGCAAUGGGCAAUAAGUGCCUGACAGAGUAAUAUCGAGUUAACUCAAAUGAGUUUAUUUCUUAAAAGAUUAAUUAAGAAGGUAUUUUAAGAAAAGUAUUGGCUAACUCCUGUGCCAGCAGCCGCGGUAAUACAGGGAAUGCAAGCGUUAUUCGGUUUAAUUAGGUGUAAAAGGUUGUUAGGCUUUUCGUUAAGUGUUUUGUUAAAGUCCAAAAUUAUUUAACCAUUCCUUAAUUAUAAAUUUUAUAGUUUUUUUGGGGUGCAUUUCAUACUAACAGAAUGGAGUAUUAAACACAAAAGAUAGAUAGAACCUUAUGAUGAACAAUUAAAUGUUUUAAAUAUAAGGGACUGCCAAUGGUGAAGACAAUCUAUUAUGUUAAUACUGACGCUGAGUCAACGAAAGCACGGGAGAAAUGGGAUUUAGAGACCCCAGUAAUCGUAUGCUGUAAAUUUUGAAUACUAGGCUAUAAACAAAAGAAGACUUUACUGGUUCCAUUAACUCAGUUUAUUGGAAUGCAAGUUUUCUUUUCCUUUUUUUUUUAAUAUAUAUUAAUAUUUUAUAUAUAGUAUAUAUUUUUUGUGGCCACAGUUAACACGUUUAAGUAUUGUACCUGGAAAGUACGUCCGCAAGGAUGAAAUUCAAAGGAAUUGGCGUGAAUCUUUACAUUUUUACAACGAUGGAGCAUGUGGUUUAAUUCGACAAAGAGCGAAAAACAUUAUCAAGGUUUAACGGUGGUGCAUGGCUGUUAUCGUGCUGUGAAGUGUCAGGUUAAGUCCUGUAACGAGCGCAACCCUUAGUAAUUUGUUGUUUAAUUAUAAAUAAAGAACUAAUUAUGACUUCUUAAUAAUACAUAAAAAGAGGAAGAAGGACAAAAACAAGUAAACUUGCCCCUAUACUUUGAGCAACACGCGUGCUACAAUGGAAAAUAACAAAGUUUUAUUCUUAAAUAUUUCCUCAGUUCGGAUUGUAUAUGGAUUAAAAUGCCUACAUGAAGUUGAAAUCGUAUUUUGAAGUAAUCGUAAAAAGGUCCUUACGGUGAAGAUUUGUUUUAAAUUUUUUUUUAUUUCGUAAAGGUUUCGUACAUACUGCCCGUCACGUUCCGAUGAUUACGUUUUACUUAAAGUUUUUCCUAAGGAAAGAUGAAUGUAAAAUUGUCAUUGUAAUGAAGUCGUAACAAGGUAGCUGUGUCGGAAGGUGCGG
rnacentral:rRNA from 1 species